GUUGGCGCGGGGCCGCCGGCGGGGGUAACACGUAGGUGGAAAGCUUGGUCCGGAAUUGUUGGGCGUAAAGCGCUCGGAGGCUGUGUGUUGCGUCGGCUGUGAAAACCCGGGGCUUAACCCUGGGCUUGCAGUGGAUACGGACAGACUAGAGGUAGGUAGGGGAGAAUGGAAUUCCCGGUGUAGCGGUGAAAUGCGCAGAUAUCGGGAGGAACACCGGUGGCGAAGGCGGUUCUCUGGGCCUUACCUGACGCUGAGGAGCGAAAGCGUGGGGAGCGAACAGGAUUAGAUACCCGGGUAGUC
rnacentral:rRNA from 1 species